rnacentral:rRNA from 1 species
UACGAAGGGGGCGAGCGUUGUUCGGAUUUACUGGGCGUAAAGGGCGCGUAGGCGGCCUUGUCAGUCAGGCGUGAAAGCCCCGGGCUCAACCUGGGAACGGCGCUUGGGACGGCGAGGCUGGAGUUCGGGAGAGGAGAGUGGAAUUCCCAGUGUAGAGGUGAAAUUCGUAGAUAUUGGGAAGAACACCGGUGGCGAAGGCGGCCUGCUGGACAGCACCUGACACUGAGACGCGAAAGCGUGGGUAGCAAACAGG